rnacentral:snRNA from 1 species
GUGCUCGCUUCGGCAGCACAUAUACUAAAAUUGGA